CAGUAAGUUAUAUUAUAAACUCUUAAAAAUUUUAUAUUGAGAGAGAGAGAAAAAGAGUUGAGCUAGAAUACUGUCAAAAGUACCAAGCGAGAGGUGCUUUUGAGUUUUUAGCCUUUGGAUGGAGAAACGUAGGGUUAGGAUGAUCGUGGUAGGUGGUGGUAGGUGGUGGUAGGUGGAAUAGUGUUUGAUCGAUCCAAGAGCUAUUAAUAAUCAAGGAGUAAAUCCAAGGGGUAGAAACUAGAAACUUAGAAGUACUAAGGGGUUAGUGCUUCUAAAAGUAUUCUAGCUCAAUUAUAUAUAGUUC
rnacentral:lncRNA from 1 species